UACGUAGGGGGCAAGCGUUGUCCGGAAUCACUGGGCGUAAAGCGCGCGCAGGCGGUCAUCUACGUCUGGGGUGAAAGCCCGGAGCUCAACUCCGGGAUUGCCUUGGAUACGGGAUGACUUGAGGAUCGGAGAGGCAAGGGGAAUUCCACGUGUAGCGGUGAAAUGCGUAGAGAUGUGGAGGAACACCUGUGGCGAAGGCGCCUUGCUGGCCGAUUUCUGACGCUGAGGAGCGAAAGCGUGGGGAGCGAACAGG
rnacentral:rRNA from 1 species